rnacentral:rRNA from 1 species
UACGUAGGGCGCAAGCGUUGUCCGGAAUUAUUGGGCGUAAAGAGCUCGUAGGCGGUCUGUCGCGUCUGUUGUGAAAACUCGAGGCUCAACCUCGGGCUUGCAGUGGAUACGGGCAGACUAGAGUGCGGUAGGGGAGACUGGAAUUCCUGGUGUAGCGGUGGAAUGCGCAGAUAUCAGGAGGAACACCGGUGCGCGAAGGCGGGUCUCUGGGCCGAACUGACGCUGAGGAGCGAAGCAUGGGGAGCGAACAGG